rnacentral:lncRNA from 1 species
AGUGCAUCAAUAAAAAUAUGGGGAAAAAGAAAAAUAAUAAUGAUUUUUAAGGCAAAGAAGAUAAAAUUUUUAAAGCAUUGCAGAAAAUCUAAAAAUCAGCAUCACAGAUGCAUUUGAUAGUUUUAAGAGUAAUGCAUAUUACUGAGCACUGAGAAAAAUAAUGAAACUGAAUUAUGGACUUUCUGAGAAGUUUGAAACUGAAUCUGGGGGAUCACAGUGUAGUUCAAAUAUUCCUCCCACCAUCCUCUGUCUUAUUGGCAUUGUUAUGAAGCUUAGUCAUCUGUGUCUGUAAUUUUCAUUGCAAUUUUUCAUUGAAAUUCUAAUGCAUGCAUGUUUAGCUUCUUGGUAAUGUCACUGAUGUUUGUUCUAUGUUUGUUUGUUUAAUAUCCUCCACAGGGCCAUACCAAGAAAGGGCAUUCAAAAAAGUACUUUUUGAAGGGAUAGGUGGGUAGAAAGACGAAUGGAUGAAUGAACAGAUGAUUAGAGGAUUGAAAGUACAAAGCCGAGUGCAGUGGUAAUCCCAGAGGCUCAGGAGGCUGAGGUAGGAGGAUCUUAAAUUCAAAGCCAACCUCAGCAACUUAGCCAGGCCCUAAACAACUCAGUGAGACCUUGUCUCUAAAUAAGAUAUUCAAAAGGGCUGGGAUGUGGCUCAGUAGGUUAAGCACCUCUGGGUUCAAUCCCCAGUACCCACCCAAACACACACACACAAAAUAACAACAACAACUAAGCAACAAAUGAGUGAGUUAAUUUGUGUUUUUAGUUAUUGAUAAGAAAAUUUUGCAACAUUCUUAUUAGAGCCACUUGUUUAUCCAUUUGCUUAAUAAGUACUUUUAUCCACUUAUUUAAUUACUCUUCUACUUAUUCAACCCUACUGAUAAGCCAAGAGUGGGUUACAGUAAUUAAAAUCAUGAAAUGACAAAUUUUUCAGUUUUUGUAUCUAUUGAAGAUCCAAAGACCUCAUCAUAACCAUCCAAAAAGUAUUUCUUGAUUUGUCAGAGACAGCUAUUGUUUUCAUCAAAGUUUAAACUACAUUCCAG